AGAGAGAGACAUGCGCGCAUAUCAAUAAGCGGAGGAAAAGAAACUAACAAGGAUUCUCUUAGUAACGGCGAGUGAAGCGGGAAGAGCUCAAAUUUGAAAUCUUCAAGGUUUUACCUUGACGAAUUGUAGUUUAAAGAAGUGUUUCUCUGCUGGAAGUUUUGGUAAAAGUUCUUUGGAAUAGGACAUCAUAGAGGGUGAGAAUCCCGUAUUUGACCAUUAUUUUCAGCUUUGUGAUACACUUUCAAAGAGUCGGAUUGUUUGGGAAUGCAGUCCAAAAUGGGUGGUAAAUUUCAUCUAAAGCUAAAUAUUGGCGAGAGACCGAUAGCGAACAAGUACCGUGAGGGAAAGAUGAAAAGAACUUUGAAAAGAGAGUUAAACAGUACGUGAAAUUGUCAAAAGGGAAGCGUUUGACACCAGUGUUGUUUUCUCGAAAAUCAAUUAAAGAAUGGCUCGAUUUUGUAUUGCUUGAGACCUUAAAAGCUCACUGUACAUUUUUCGUGUCUUUUUUUAAUGCACUUUUCGUUUAACAAGUCAACAUCAGUUUCUUUUGUUGUAAAAGGGUCAUUGGAAGGUGGCUUUCUUUUCGGAGAAAGUGUUUAUAGCCUUUGGCCUCUGCAAUCGGAGAGACUGAGGUCUGCAGCGUAGACUCUUCGGGGUUAGAUACAUUUGUGCUAAGUUAUAGCUUUUAUAGACAACUUGUUGACUAUAAUUAGUCAUUGUAGCUUACUCGCUUAUGCUAUUUUACCUACGCUUAGGAUGUUGAAGAUGUAGCACAUCAU
rnacentral:rRNA from 1 species